CUCUGAGUCCCCACACAUCAUACGGCUCUUCCCCUGCACGGCUCCCUGAGGCUCUGGGGCCUGGGACUCAUCCUCCCAGAGCACACCUGCCCCCCUCAACAGGGUCCCUGCAGAGUGUCCCCUGGUCUCCCCGUUUACCUCUAAAUGUAUCCCAUCAGCCCCCUGAGCCCAGGAGAUGGGAAGGAGCUGCUGGUGAGCGUCGCGCGUCUCCUGGAGGUGCCGAUGAGCGUCUUCGCAGACAUCACUGUUCUGGGCCCAGCGGUGACCUUCAGGGUGAGCGCCAGCAUCUGGAACCUGACGACAGCAGACGUGGUGCAGGCCACAGGAACCUUUGGACUCAGGAGCCAGCGAGCAGACAUGUCAGUCGAGUGGACUCUUCCGUGUAGCCAACUCUUCCUCUAAUUGAUCUGCUUCUGGGAAUGAGCUGACUAGGGGUGUGCCCAACCUAGCUGGUCGGUUAUAUCCAAGCCCAGAGCCCAUCCAGACUCAAGGGCUCUGGGUGCAGGAGCACCCGGUGGCAGCAGGUAUUCCUCCAUCACCACCUGCUUUGCUGGCGCACUCUCGGGUGUUUUCACAGAAGAUGAAAGGGGCCCUUAUGCUUCAAGGGGAACUGCUAGGUGUGAGCAUGUAGCCGUUCCAUUAGAGGUGCGGGUUGCACCUGCCAAAUACAAACCUCUAGUACCUUGCUGCAUGCAUACACGUGUAAGCGUGUGUGUGCACUUGCGCGGGGAGUGGCAUUACUUGGGGAAGGCAGUCCUGGGAUGGAAAUGGAAGGCCUUCUUACUAACCGCAAG
rnacentral:lncRNA from 1 species